GUGGGGAAUUUUGGACAAUGGGCGAAAGCCUGAUCCAGCCAUGCCGCGUGCAGGAUGAAGGCCUUCGGGUUGUAAACUGCUUUUGUACGGAACGAAAAGACUCCUUCUAAUAAAGGGGGUCCAUGACGGUACCGUAAGAAUAAGCACCGGCUAACUACGUGCCAGCAGCCGCGGUAAUACGUAGGGUGCAAGCGUUAAUCGGAAUUACUGGGCGUAAAGCGUGCGCAGGCGGUUUUGUAAGACAGGCGUGAAAUCCCCGGGCUCAGCCUGGGAAUGGCGCUUGUGACUGCAAAGCUGGAGUGCGGCAGAGGGGGAUGGAAGUCCGCGUGUAGCAGUGAAAUGCGUAGAUAUGCGGAGGAACAGCGAUGGCGAAGGCAAUCCCCUGGAGCUGUACUGACGCUCAUGCACGAAAGCGUGGGGAGCAAACAGGAUUAGAAACCCUUGUAGUCC
rnacentral:rRNA from 1 species